rnacentral:rRNA from 1 species
UACGUAGGGUGCAAGCGUUGUCCGGAAUUAUUGGGCGUAAAGAGCUCGUAGGCGGUCUGUCGCGUCGGCUGUGAAAACCCGAGGCUCAACCUCGGGCCUGCAGUCGAUACGGGCAAACUAGAGUACUGCAGGGGAGACUGGUAUUCCUGGUGUAGCGGUGAAAUGCGCAGAUAUCAGGAGGAACACCGGUGGCGAAGGCGGGUCUCUGGGCAGUAACUGACGCUGAGGAGCGAAAGCGUGGGGAGCGAACAGG